ACUUUAUGAAUUAUUAAUAAAGUUUUUAGAAAAAUUUUUAACUUUUAUUGAAACUUCAUUAUGUUGGGGUGAUGGGGUAAUAAAAUAACUUACUUUUAAUUUAACAUUUAUAAAUGAUUGAAUGAACCAUAAAUAAUGAUUAAAAAAUUAAGU
rnacentral:rRNA from 1 species